UCUGGUUGAUCCUGCCAGUAGUUAUAUGCUUGUCUCAAAGAUUAAGCCAUGCAUGUCUAAGUACACACGAAUUAAAAGUGAAACCGCAAAAGGCUCAUUAUAUCAGUUAUGGUUCCUUAGAUCGUUAACAGUUACUUGGAUAACUGUGGUAAUUCUAGAGCUAAUACAUGCAAUUAAAACAUGAACCUUAUGGGACAUGUGCUUUUAUUAGGCUAAAACCAAGCGAUCGCAAGAUCGUUAUAUUGGUUGAACUCUAGAUAACAUGCAGAUCGUAUGGUCUUGUACCGACGACAGAUCUUUCAAAUGUCUGCCCUAUCAACUUUUGAUGGUAGUAUCUAGGACUACCAUGGUUGCAACGGGUAACGGGGAAUCAGGGUUCGAUUCCGGAGAGGGAGCCUGAGAAACGGCUACCACAUCUAAGGAAGGCAGCAGGCGCGUAAAUUACCCACUCCCAGCUCGGGGAGGUAGUGACGAAAAAUAACAAUACAGGACUCAUAUCCGAGGCCCUGUAAUUGGAAUGAGUACACUUUAAAUCCUUUAACAAGGACCAAUUGGAGGGCAAGUCUGGUGCCAGCAGCCGCGGUAAUUCCAGCUCCAAUAGCGUAUAUUAAAGUUGUUGCGGUUAAAACGUUCGUAGUUGAACUUGUGCUUCAUACGGGUAGUACAACUUACAAUUGUGGUUAGUACUAUACCUUUAUGUAUGUAAGCGUAUUACCGGUGGAGUUCUUAUAUGUGAUUAAAUACUUGUAUUUUUUCAUAUGUUCCUCCUAUUUAAAAACCUGCACUAGUGCUCUUAAACGAGUGUUAUUGUGGGCCGGUACUAUUACUUUGAACAAAUUAGAGUGCUUAAAGCAGGCUUCAAAUGCCUGAAUAUUCUGUGCAUGGGAUAAUGAAAUAAGACCUCUGUUCUGCUUUCAUUGGUUUUCAGAUCAAGAGGUAAUGAUUAAUAGAAGCAGUUUGGGGGCAUUAGUAUUACGACGCGAGAGGUGAAAUUCUUGGACCGUCGUAAGACUAACUUAAGCGAAAGCAUUUGCCAAAGAUGUUUUCAUUAAUCAAGA
rnacentral:rRNA from 1 species